rnacentral:tRNA from 1 species
AUUAUUAAGGAUAUUUUUAAAUAUCGUAGUUAGAUUAAAAAUCUAACGCUUAUUCUCAGCCACUUAAUAA